rnacentral:sRNA from 1 species
UCCCAUCUUGAUUGUCUUGAUUAAUGGU